AUGACGGGACCGGCAGGUGAUGGGAGAGGAAGCCCGAGGCAGGCGGCCGCGGCUCUCUCUCUUUCGGGCGUGGCGGCGGCGGCCGCGCCUUCUGUGGCGUUGGGGGAGGGGGGUUUGGGGCAGGCGGCCCUGACUCCUCCUUCCUCGCCGGCGGUCAGGAGGAGCGCAUCUCCUUCGAUUGUGGCGGCGCCCGCGCCUUCUGUGGCGUUGGGAGGGGUGUUUGGGGCAGGCGGCCCUGACUCCUCCUUCCUUGCCGGCGGUCAGGUGGACCGCUUCUCCUUCGGCUGUGGCGGCGCCCGCGCCUUUUGUGGCGUUGGAGGAGGGGGGUUUGGGGCAGGCGGCCCUGACUCCUCCUUCCUCGUCGGCGGUCAGGAGAUCCGAGCCUCCUCCCAGUGUACCUGUUGCUAUGGGUCUUGGAUUGGGCACUUGUCCGAGGGGUCUGGGAGCCCGCAGCCGCCUCCUCCGGUACCCUUGGUUGACCCUUCGCGGGUUUCAGCGCGAGGAGUUACUAGGGAGGAGGUCUUUGCUUUUGGCGGGAUCCCGGACCCGGCCUCGACGGGGAGGCGGAUGAGUGCUCGCAUUCAGGAGCUUCCAGAGGUUGAUGACAUGCAGCAGAGGUGCGCUAUGAGGGCGGCCAAGCUUCAUGAUGCUGCGAUCUCUACUGGUUAUUUUCCGAGCCACGGCCGUGAUCCGUUCAUGGUCGCUACUCACUCCGAUGGAGGCCAGGGAGCAUUUGGUUACUGGAUCUAUCCGCUGGGAGAUGGUAGCUCGGGAUAUCUUCAACCGGUUUAG
rnacentral:rRNA from 1 species